rnacentral:lncRNA from 1 species
UACGCUGCAGAAAUUAUCUGAAUGGAAAUCAGACAUGGAAGCCAUUAUUAGUUGUACGCAAGAAGACAUUCCUAUUGGUACAUGUCCAAUUCCCGAUGAUCGACCGAAGGAUGCAUCAACGUCUCAACAAGUCGAAAGUUCUGAAACAUCACAACGAGAGAAGAAAAAAAGGGAAAACAAAUACAAUUUUCGUCGUCUAAAAGACGUCCUUUGGAAGAUUAUUCUAUGCAAAAAUACUCGACUCUUAGAAACUGGAUAGCGGAGAACGAAUCAAGGUUAGAAAGAUGAUUUUUUAUUAUUGGUUUAAAUACUACAAUUUUAUUUUGAUUUAUUCAACUCUAAUUUUAAUUAUGCUAUGCAGUGCAUAUUUGGAAGAUGCCAUUGGGAACGUCUAUGGAAGAGAUUGGUUGAAAACUUUAUUGGAUAGAACAAAAGAUAUAAAU